UACGAAGGGGGCUAGCGUUGCUCGGAAUUACUGGGCGUAAAGGGCUCGUAGGCGGCCAACUAAGUCAGACGUGAAAUCCCUCGGCUUAACCGGGGAACUGCGUCUGAUACUGGAUGGCUUGAGUUUGGGAGAGGGAUGCGGAAUUCCAGGUGUAGCGGUGAAAUGCGUAGAUAUCUGGAGGAACACCGGUGGCGAAGGCGGCAUCCUGGACCAACACUGACGCUGAGGAGCGCAAGCCAGGGGAGCAAACGGG
rnacentral:rRNA from 1 species